rnacentral:rRNA from 1 species
AGAGUUUGAUCCUGGCUCAGGACGAACGCUGGCGGCGCGCCUAACACAUGCAAGUCGAACGAGAGAUGAGGAGCUUGCUCUUCAGAUCGAGUGGCGAACGGGUGAGUAACGCGUGAGGAACCUGCCUCAAAGAGGGGGACAACAGUUGGAAACGACUGCUAAUACCGCAUAAGCCCACGGCUCGGCAUCGAGCAGAGGGAAAAGGAGUGAUCCGCUUUGAGAUGGCCUCGCGUCCGAUUAGCUAGUUGGUGAGGUAACGGCCCACCAAGGCAACGAUCGGUAGCCGGACUGAGAGGUUGAACGGCCACAUUGGGACUGAGACACGGCCCAGACUCCUACGGGAGGCAGCAGUGGGGAAUAUUGCACAAUGGGGGAAACCCUGAUGCAGCGACGCCGCGUGGAGGAAGAAGGUCUUCGGAUUGUAAACUCCUGUUGUUGAGGAAGAUAAUGACGGUACUCAACAAGGAAGUGACGGCUAACUACGUGCCAGCAGCCGCGGUAAAACGUAGGUCACAAGCGUUGUCCGGAAUUACUGGGUGUAAAGGGAGCGCAGGCGGGAGAACAAGUUGGAAGUGAAAUCCAUGGGCUCAACCCAUGAACUGCUUUCAAAACUGUUUUUCUUGAGUAGUGCAGAGGUAGGCGGAAUUCCCGGUGUAGCGGUGGAAUGCGUAGAUAUCGGGAGGAACACCAGUGGCGAAGGCGGCCUACUGGGCACCAACUGACGCUGAGGCUCGAAAGUGUGGGUAGCAAACAGGAUUAGAUACCCUGGUAGUCCACACCGUAAACGAUGAUUACUAGGUGUUGGAGGAUUGACCCCUUCAGUGCCGCAGUUAACACAAUAAGUAAUCCACCUGGGGAGUACGACCGCAAGGUUGAAACUCAAAGGAAUUGACGGGGGCCCGCACAAGCAGUGGAGUAUGUGGGUUUAAUUCGACGCAACGCGAAGAACCUUACCAAGUCUUGACAUCCCUUGACGAACAUAGAAAUAUGUUUUCUCUUCGGAGCAAGGAGACAGGUGGUGCAUGGUUGUCGUCAGCUCGUGUCGUGAGAUGUUGGGUUAAGUCCCGCAACGAGCGCAACCCUUAUGGUCAGUUACUACGCAAGAGGACUCUGGCCAGACUGCCGUUGACAAAACGGAGGAAGGUGGGGAUGACGUCAAAUCAUCAUGCCCUUUAUGACUUGGGCUACACACGUACUACAAUGGCGUUAAACAAAGAGAAGCAAGACUGCGAGGUGGAGCAAAACUCAGAAACAACGUCCCAGUUCGGACUGCAGGCUGCAACUCGCCUGCACGAAGUCGGAAUUGCUAGUAAUCGUGGAUCAGCAUGCCACGGUGAAUACGUUCCCGGGCCUUGCACACACCGCCCGUC